rnacentral:rRNA from 1 species
AUUGAACGCUGGCGGCAGGCCUAACACAUGCCAGUCGAACGGUAACAGGAAGAAGCUUGCUUCUUUGCUGACGAGUGGCGGACGGGUGAGUAAUGUCUGGGAAACUGCCUGAUGGAGGGGGAUAACUACUGGAAACGGUAGCUAAUACCGCAUGACGUCGCAAGACCAAAGAGGGGGACCUUCGGGCCUCUUGCCAUCGGAUGUGCCCAGAUGGGAUUAGCUAGUAGGUGGGGUAACGGCUCACCUAGGCGACGAUCCCUAGCUGGUCUGAGAGGAUGACCAGCCACACUGGAACUGAGACACGGUCCAGACUCCUACGGGAGGCAGCAGUGGGGAAUAUUGCACAAUGGGCGCAAGCCUGAUGCAGCCAUGCCGCGUGUAUGAAGAAGGCCUUCGGGUUGUAAAGUACUUUCAGCGGGGAGGAAGGGAGUAAAGUUAAUACCUUUGCUCAUUGACGUUACCCGCAGAAGAAGCACCGGCUAACUCCGUG